rnacentral:rRNA from 1 species
GACGAACCGUGCGAACGUUGUUCGGAAUCACUGGGCUUAAAGGGCGCGUAGGCGGGCUUGCAAGUCCGGGGUGAAAGCCCCCAGCUUAACUGGGAAGUGCCUUGGAUACUGCAAGUCUGGAGGGAGGUAGGGGCGUGCGGAACUUCCGGUGGAGCGGUGAAAUGCGUAGAUAUCGGAAGGAACACCGGUGGCGAAAGCGGCGCGCUGGACCUUUUCUGACGCUGAGGCGCGAAAGCCAGGGGAGCAAACGGG